GAUGAACGCUAGCUACAGGCUUAACACAUGCAAGUCGAGGGACCGGCGCACGGGUGAGUAACAAGUAUCCAACCUGCCCUUUACUCGGGGAUAGCUUUUCGAUAGAAAGAUUAAUACCCGAUAUAAAGGAUGGGGAUGCGUUCCUUUAGGUUGUUGGUGAGGUAACGGCUCACCAAGCCUUCGAUGGAUAGGGGUUCUGAGAGGAAGGUCCCCCACAUUGGAACUGAGACACGAUCCAAACGCGUAUGAGAGGCAGGAGGUAGGAAUAUAUGGCAAUGGGCGCUAGCCUGAACCAGCCAAGGAGCGUGAAGGAUGAAGGGUUAUGGGUCGUAAACUUCUUUUAUAUAAGAAUAUGUAUUAAAUGAAUAAGGAUCGGCUAACUCCGUGCCAGCAGCCGCGGUAAUUC
rnacentral:rRNA from 1 species